UGGAUAGCUCAGUUGGUUAGAGUGUGGUGCUCAUAAUGCCAAGGUUUCAGGUUCAAUCCCUGUAUGGAACAG
rnacentral:tRNA from 1 species